AGAGUUUGAUCCUGGCUCAGAACGAACGCUGGCGGCAGGCCUAACACAUGCAAGUCGAACGGGCACCUUCGGGUGUCAGUGGCAGACGGGUGAGUAACGCGUGGGAACCUACCCUAUGGUACGGAAUAACUUCGGGAAACCGAAGCUAAUACCGUAUACCUCCUCCGGGAGAAAGAUUUAUCGCCAUGGGAUGGGCCCGC
rnacentral:rRNA from 1 species